AACGAACGCUGGCGGCAUGCCUAACACAUGCAAGUCGAACGAAGGCUUCGGCCUUAGUGGCGCACGGGUGCGUAACACGUGGGAAUCUGCCCUUUGCUUCGGAAUAACAGUUAGAAAUGACUGCUAAUACCGAAUAAUGUCGCAAGACCAAAGAUUUAUCGGCAAAGGAUGAGCCCGCGUAGGAUUAGCUAGUUGGUGGGGUAAAGGCUCACCAAGGCGACGAUCCUUAGCUGGUCUGAGAGGAUGAUCAGCCACACUGGGACUGAGACACGGCCCAGACUCCUACGGGAGGCAGCAGUGGGGAAUAUUGGACAAUGGGCGAAAGCCUGAUCCAGCAAUGUUGUGUGAGUGAUGAAGGUUUUAGGGUUGUAAAGCUUUUUUACCAGGGAUGAUAGUGACAGUACCUGGAGAAUAAGCUCCGGCUAACUCCGUGCCAGCCGCCGCAGUAAAAC
rnacentral:rRNA from 1 species